rnacentral:lncRNA from 1 species
AUGCUGAGACGGGGAUUCGUAUUUCACACGUUCCCGGCGGCGCGGGGGAGGAUGCACCAGCGCUGCUGCGUAGGGACUCGGCGCUGCGAGCGGUCCCGAAUUCCCUCAAACCCCGCCGCCCCUCCCGCACGGGCUCCCUCCAGGCGGGGACACCGGGCCGGCUCCGCUCCGCCGCCGAGCGAGCAGCGCCGUACCCCGGCUGCGGCAGCGGGAAGGGCCCGGGGAAGCCACCCCCAGGGAGACGGGAACGCGUCUCCAGAGCCAUCCCCAGCCGAGUGCAAGGUGAUGUACUUUUUGUCCAGUGCACGUCAUGGUGAGGGAUGAGGCAUGAGUCACUUCCCCUGUGGGCAGCGAUGACUGACUGCCUCUGCUGCCUGUGGAGCUGCCACACCAGGGCUGGGCACACGAGGAGUCACCGCCUCCAAUCAGCUCUCUGAUGACGACACGAUGUAAAAGCAGUUUAUUAAGCUGCAAGAUGAAAGACUUUUACAGCUCAUUAAGGAGGAAAGCUCAUAAGAAGGUAAUAAUAGAAGGAAUAUUUAAUUUUGCAUGAGUCUGCCUAGAAUUGUGCUGCUUCUGAAGUGUAAAUCGGAAGAGAUUUGUAUACAAGAUUUCACAAUGUGUCAUGUUAGAAUUAUUAGGAUUAAACUAUAAAAACAAUUUCUUGUAUAAGAUUUUCUUAAAGAAAAGCAUCUUCUUUUAGUGUACAUGUCAUAAAUCUCUUUAGAAAUCUCUUGCUUUAUUAACAAUAUUUAGAAGACACAGAAUUAGGACUAAGUAGAAAAUGUUCAGGGUAUUUUUUUUUUGUUGUAAAUGUUCUGGGACUAACAUGAAGUAUUUAGUUUUCAACUUUUCAACUGAGUCUGCAUGAACACUUUGAAGAUAAAGGAGCGAGAGACUGAAACCAGACCAGACUCCUACCUUUGCAACAAAAUUUCACUUAAAAUGGCUUUGGAAGCUCUGCAUUAUAGCAACAGUGGAUUUACACUCAUUACAAAAAGGCAACAUUAUGGAUUAAAGGUUUUGUACUGUUCUUUCUUGCUCCCGAGUCAUGCCUCUGGUCCUCAUCUUGACUUUUUGGGUUUCUUUUCCAAAAUUUUGAGAAGGUUUGACUCAUCAAAAUAGCAUGUUUUUAAAUGUGAAUACUCCAGUCCCGUGGAAAAUUUUCUGAUGUACGAAUACCAGUCCAAAUUUUGGCUGGAGGGUGAAGAAUGUAGUGAUUCAUGUCCAUAGCUCAGGCUUGGGAAAACCCAAAUGUAAGACCAGGGAAGCCAAACAGUUUUCACAGAGUUUUUUAAUUAUCACUUCUGCAUUUUUAUGGAAGAAAAUGAAGUUUCAGAGGGGGAAUAAAUGUGUGCCAUUUAUGCUGCA